CAAAGAUCAUUUAUUUGUUUUAGAUGGUCACCUGCUUCAGCAAAGAGGGAACACAGUUUGAGAGUCCACUGACCUACAGCUGUUUGUACUCACAUAUUAAUGCACUGAAUGUGUGUAAAGGCUUUAAUGUUUGACUUUUCACAUUAUGACAAAGGAUUUCCUCAAGUUCCUUUGAUUGUUUCAUGAACCAUCUUUACUCACAGGAGAGAUCUUUCUUUAGAAACUCACUUCAGUGCAAACCUUGGAUAUUAUUCAUUUUAUUUAAGGUCAUUUAGGUUAUUUUAGAUGUGUGUCAGAAGUACAACUGUUUUGUUUUUCAAAAGUUAAAUAGUUCAAGUUUUUAGGUGUAAGAUUUGGAUGAGAAUUUUGAAAUAAUGAAUGAAAUAGGAUCAAAGUGUGACAGUUUGAUCAGUCGUGCAUAAUCUUUAUCAUUGAUUGGUGUUUAAUCUGCGUGGUGCGUGUUGUUGGCAUUAGUGUUAUCAGUGUGUUUUAUCUGUCCCACAGCAGAUCCACCUGUUUCUUCUGCUACUUUGAUUGGAGUCACAGUCUUUCUCCUCCUCCUUCUCACCAUCACCAUCACCAUCGGCUUCUUCCUCUGGAGACGUAAAAAGGCCAAAGAGCACCAAAAAUCUCCAGAGGAAAUAAAACUAUUACCUGAUAAAAAAGGUGCUGU